GGUUGGUCUGAGUGCAGUGGUGUUUACAACAAAUUGACCACGACCAGUUGCAGAUUUCUUUGGUUCUUCUAUACUCCCACUGCUUCACUUGACUAGCAUUAA
rnacentral:Y_RNA from 1 species